rnacentral:rRNA from 1 species
AGAUUGAACGCUGGCGGCAGGCCUAACACAUGCAAGUCGAGCGGCAGCACGGGUACUUGUACCUGGUGGCGAGCGGCGGACGGGUGAGUAAUGCCUAGGAAUCUGCCUGGUAGUGGGGGAUAACGCUCGGAAACGGACGCUAAUACCGCAUACGUCCUACGGGAGAAAGCAGGGGACCUUCGGGCCUUGCGCUAUCAGAUGAGCCUAGGUCGGAUUAGCUAGUUGGUGAGGUAAUGGCUCACCAAGGCGACGAUCCGUAACUGGUCUGAGAGGAUGAUCAGUCACACUGGAACUGAGACACGGUCCAGACUCCUACGGGAGCAGCAGUGGGAAUAUUGGACAAUGGGCGAAAGCCUGAUCCAGCCAUGCCGCGUGUGUGAAGAAGGUCUUCGGAUUGUAAAGCACUUCAAGUUGGAGGAAGGCAGUUACCUAAUACGUAUCUGUUUGACGUUACGACAGAAUAAGCACGGCUAACUCUGUG